rnacentral:rRNA from 1 species
GACAGAGGUGCCAAGCGUUAGGCGGAAUCACUGGGCUUAAAGCGUGUGUAGGCGGAUCGUUAAGUACCUUGUGAAAUCCCACGGCUCAACCGUGGAACUGCUGGGUAUACUGGCGAUCUUGAGCCACCUAGGGGCGAGCGGAACAAGCGGUGGAGCGGUGAAAUGCGUAGAUAUCGCUUGGAACGCCAACGGUGAAAACAGCUCGCUGGGGGUGUGCUGACGCUGGAGACACGAAAAGCCAGGGGAGCGAAACGGGG